rnacentral:rRNA from 1 species
CUAGGGAGUCAGUUCGGCUGGAUUUGGAUACAGGUGUUGCAUGGCUGUCGUCAGCUCGUGUCGUGAGAUGUCGGGUUAAGUCCUUUAACGAGCGCAACCCUCAUUGCAUGUAAUUUUUCAUGCGAGACUGCCCUGGUUAACAGGGAGGAAGGUGGGAUGACGUCAAGUCAGCAUGGCCCUUACACCUUGGGCUACACACGUGUUACAAUGGCCGGUACAAUAAGUCGCAAUACCGUAAGGUGGAGCUAAUCUAUGAAAACCGGUCCCAGUUCGGAUUGGGGGCUGAAACUCGCCCCCAUGAAGUCGGAAUCGCUAGUAACCGUGAAUCAGCACGUCACGGUGAAUACGUUCCCGGGUCUU